GGAAGAUUGGUAGAAUGGUUAUUACAGCAGUCUUGAAAACUGUCACCUUAUGGGUGUGGGGGUUCGAGUCCCUCAUCUUCCG
rnacentral:tRNA from 1 species